UGGGGAAUAUUGCACAAUGGACGGAAGUCUGAUGCAGCAACGCCGCGUGCGGGAUGACGGCCUUCGGGUUGUAAACCGCUUUUUCUCAUGACGAAGUUUUUUGACGGUAGUGGGGGAAGAAGCACCGGCUAACUACGUGCCAGCAGCCGCGGUGAUACGUAGGGUGCGAGCGUUGUCCGGAAUUAUUGGGCGUAAAGAGCUUGUAGGCGGUUUGUCGCGUCGAUAGUGCAAACUCAGUGCUUAACGCUGAGCCUGCUGUUGAUACGGGCAGACUAGGGGAAGGUAGGGGAGAAUGGAAUUCCCGGUGGAGCGGUGGAAUGCGCAGAUAUCGGGAGGAACACCGGUGGCGAAGGCGGUUCUCUGGGCCUUUCCUGACGCUGGGAAGCGAAAGCGUGGGGAGCGAACAGG
rnacentral:rRNA from 1 species